UCGUCUUUUAAAGUGGCUGGCCCACAUAUCAUCCCCCUUAGUAAUACUCGACACGCGUUACCGUUCGCGUCGACGGCUUAAACUCUGGUGUGCUCUCGAUAAACCAUCAGGCUCUCUCGAACAAUCUGACUUUCGUCGUAGCUGAGAGGACAGCUCGUGCCGUUUUCUCGCGAUCUCGCUAGUCCGAUUUUUCCGCCGUUCUUCCUCUCAUCGGCGCAACACGGAUUCGCUUGACGAUUGCCAUAAAAUGGCAGAGUAGAAGCUGUGGUGUUGCAGGGAGGCACGAGAUGAGUCCAGCAGAAAUUAAAUCCAUUCGUAGACCAUUUGGUAAACCUUGGAACGGCGUGAACCUGUGCCAGCUUUCGUUGCACCUUUCUCAAACUCUGUUCCCCCAUCUCAGAAGGGAGGAGAAAUAGAGGAGGAGCCGCGUGUCUUUUCACUUCCGCCACUUGUACAGUCACGAAAACGAACCAAGUUAAAAAGAAAAAGGGGAGAAAGAAUAGAGGACAAGAGAAGAGAGAGAGAGAUAUAUGUAUAUAUAU